AAAAAAAAGUAAACAAAAAAUUUGCCGCCAGCAGGGGUCGAACCUGCGACCUUGGGCUUAUUAGACCCACGCUCUAACCGACUGAGCUAUGGCGGCACGGAGCGGCGCUGUUUAGAUGGCCGUGA
ensembl:ncRNA Y92C3A.5 ncRNA